rnacentral:rRNA from 1 species
AUGAACGCUGGCGGCGUGCCUAAUACAUGCAAGUCGAGCGAACGGACGAGAAGCUUGCUUCUCUGAUGUUAGCGGCGGACGGGUGAGUAACACGUGGAUAACCUACCUAUAAGACUGGGAUAGCUUCGGGAAACCGUAGCUAAUACCGGAUAAUAUUUUGAACCGCAUGGUUCAAAAGUGAAAGACGGUCUUGCUGUCACUUAUAGAUGGAUCUGCGCUGCAUUAGCUAGUUGGUAAGGUAACGGCUUACCAAGGCAACGAUGCAUAGCCGACCUGAGAGGGUGAUCGGCCACACUGGAACUGGGACACGGUCCAGACUCCUACGGGAGGCAGCAGUAGGGAAUCUUCCGCAAUGGGCGAAAGCCUGACGGAGCAACGCCGCGUGAGUGAUGAAGGUCUUCGGAUCGUAAAACUCUGUUAUUAGGGAAGAACAUAUGUGUAAGUAACUGUGCACAUCUUGACGGUACCUAAUCAGAAAGCCACGGCUAACUACGUG